AGCGAACGCUGGCGGCAGGCCUAACACAUGCAAGUCGAACGAACCUUUCGGGGUUAGUGGCGGACGGGUGAGUAACACGUGGGAACGUGCCUUUAGGUUCGGAAUAACUCAGGGAAACUUGUGCUAAUACCGAAUGUGCCCUUCGGGGGAAAGAUUAAUCGCCUUUAGAGCGGCCCGCGUCUGAUUAGCUAGUUGGUUGAGGUAAUGGCUCACCAAGGCGACGAUCAGUAGCUGGUCUGAGAGGAUGAUCAGCCACAUUGGGACUGAGACACGGCCCAAACUCCUACGGGAGGCAGCAGUGGGGAAUCUUGCGCAAUGGGCGAAAGCCUGACGCAGCCAUGCCGCGUGAAUGAUGGAGGUCUUAGGAUUGUAAAAUUCUUUCACCGGGGACGAUAAUGACGGUACCCGGAGAAGAAGCCCCGGCUAACUUCGUG
rnacentral:rRNA from 1 species